rnacentral:rRNA from 1 species
AGCAGCCGCGGGUAAUUCCAGCUCCAAUAGCGUAUAUUAAAGUUGUUGCAGUUAAAAAGCUCGUAGUUGAAUUUCGGGGUCAGUAGGUCGGUCGUGCCACUGGUAUGAACUGGUUUUACUGAUUCCUCCCUCUUGAAGAACAGUAAUGCCAUUAAUUUGGUGUUGCAGGGAAUCAGGACUGUUACUUUGAAAAAAUUAGAGUGUUUAAAGCAAGCUAACGCUUGAAUACAUUAGCAUGGAAUAAUGAAAUAGGACGUUCGAUCCUAUUUUGUUGGUUUCUAGGAUUGACGUAAUGAUUAAUAGGGAUAGUUGGGGGCAUUAGUAUUCAAUUGUCAGAGGUGAAAUUCUUGGAUUUAUUGAAGACUAACUACUGCGAAAGCAUUUGCCAAGGAUGUUUUCAUUAAUCAAGAACGAAAGUUAGGGGAUCGAAGACGAUCAGAUACCCGUCGUAGUCUUAACCAUAAACUAUGCCGACUAGGGAUCGGAUGAUGUUAAUUUUUUAAUGACUCA